CAAUAGCGUAUAUUUAAGUUGUUGCAGUUAAAAAGCUCGUAGUUGAAUUUCGGAUGGGAUUUGCCGGUCCGUCGUUACGAUGUGCACUGGCCAGUCCUAUCUUGUUGUCGGGGACUAGCUCCUUGGAUUCACUUCCUGGGACUAGGAGCUGACGAGGUUACUUUGAGUAAAUUAGAGUGUUCAAAGCAAGCCUACGCUCUGAAUACAUUAGCAUGGAAUAACACGAUAGGACUCUGGCUUAUCUUGUUGGUCUGUGAGACCAGAGUAAUGAUUAAGAGGGACAGUCGGGGACAUUCGUAUUUCAUUGUCAGAGGUGAAAUUCUUGGAUUUAUGAAAGACGAACUUCUGCGAAAGCAUUUGUCAAGGAUGUUUUCAUUAA
rnacentral:rRNA from 1 species